CCUACGGGAGGCAGCAGUGGGGAAUAUUGGACAAUGGGGGGAACCCUGAUCCAGCGACGCCGCGUGAGUGAAGAAGUAUUUCGGUAUGUAAAGCUCUAUCAGCAGGGAAGAAAGAAAUGACGGUACCUGACUAAGAAGCCCCGGCUAACUCCGUGCCAGCAGCCGCGGUAAUACGUAGGGGGCAAGCGUUAUCCGGAUUUACUGGGUGUAAAGGGAGCGUAGACGGCGAUGCAAGUCGGAAGUGAAAGGGGGGGGCCCAACCCCCGGACUGCUUUGGAAACUGUAUGGCUGGAGUGCAGGAGAGGUAAGUGGAAGUCCUAGGGUAGCGGUGAAAUGCGUAGAGAUUAGGACGAACACCAGUGGCGAAGGCGGCUUACUGGACUGUAACUGACGUUGAGGCUCGAAAGCGUGGGGAGCAAACAGGAUUAGAUACCCUUGUAGUC
rnacentral:rRNA from 1 species